CCCAAAUACUGAUGAAGCUGGAAAGCAGGAAGAAGGUCCUGACAACGAUAGACUGGCCGGAGAAGUAGAAGCAGAAAGUUCUUCCCCUCUUGGGGAAAGAGUUAACAUUUCUCAAAUUGUAAAACCAAGUAAUAUGGAUUGA